GUGCACCAGGCGCGAAACCUCCGCAAUGCUCGAAAGAGCGACGGGGGGACUCCAAGUGCCUACGCUCAGCGUAGGCUGUUCCCGAGCCUAAAAAGCUCGGGGAGUAAGGGCUGGGUAAGACGGGUGCCAGCCGCCGCGGUAAUACCCGCAGCCCGAGUGGUGGCCGCUAUUAUUGGGCCUAAAGCGUCCGUAGCCGGCUCGGUAAAUGCCUGGGUAAAUCGUCUGGCCCAACCAGACGAAUUCCGGGUAGACUGCCGGGCUAGGGGACCGGAGGAGGGAGAGGGGUACUCCAGGGGUAGGGGUGAAAUCAGCAAGGUGAGUUGCUGAUGUAACUUGCCUUGCAAGUCACAAUCCUGUAAUCCCCUGGAGGACCACCGGUGGCGAAGGCGCUCUCCUAGGACGGUCGACGGUGAGGGGACGAAAGCCAGGGGAGCAAAACCGGAUUAGAUACCCGCGUAGU
rnacentral:rRNA from 1 species